GGCGCGUAAAUUACCCAAUCCCGACACGGGGAGGUAGUGACAAGAAAUAACAAUACCGGAUCUUUCUAGAUCUGGUAAUUGGAAUGAGUACAAUCUAAAUUCCUUAACAAGGACCCAUUGGAGGGCAAGUCUGGUGCCAGCAGCCGCGGUAAUACCAGCUCCAAUAGCGUAUAUUAAAGUUGUUGCAGUUAAAAGGCUCGUAGUCGAACUUUUGGUUCUUUAGGUUUGUCCCGUUCUCUUGUAGAACGUUGUGACGAUUCUUAGAACCUUCCUGGUAGAAAGCGUUUCUGCCCUUUAUUGGGUUGGUUGCGCGAUCUGCCUCUUUUACUGUGAGAAAAACAAAGUGCUCAAAGCGGGCUUUACAGCUUGAAUGCGUUAGCAUGGAAUAAUAAGAUAGGACUUUGUUUCUAUUUUGUUGGCUCUGAGGAACAAAGUAAUGAUUGAUAGGGAUAGUUGGGGGUGCUCGUAUUUAACGGUCAGCGGUGAAAUGCAUGGACCCGUUAAAGACGAACCUAUGCGAAAGCAUUCACCAAGGAUAUCUUCUUUGAUCAAGAACGAAAGUUGGGGGAUCGAAGACGAUCAGAUACCGUCGUAGUCUCAACCAUAAACUAUGCCGACUAGGGAUUGGCGGCAGUUGAUCAUUGACCCCGUCAGCAC
rnacentral:rRNA from 1 species